rnacentral:rRNA from 1 species
AUUGAACGCUGGCGGCAUGCCUUACACAUGCAAGUCGAACGGCAGCACGGGGGCAACCCUGGUGGCGAGUGGCGAACGGGUGAGUAAUGCAUCGGAACGUACCCGGAAGUGGGGGAUAACGUAGCGAAAGUUACGCUAAUACCGCAUACGAACUAUGGUUGAAAGCGGCGGACCGCAAGGCGUCGCGCGAUUGGAUGAGCCGAUGUCCGAUUAGCUAGUUGGCGGGGUAAAGGCCCACCAAGGCGACGAUCGGUAGCUGGUCUGAGAGGAUGAUCAGCCACACUGGAACUGAGACACGGUCCAGACUCCUACGGGAGGCAGCAGUGGGGAAUAUUGGACAAUGGGCGAAAGCCUGAUCCAGCCAUGCCGCGUGUGUGAAGAAGGCCUUCGGGUUG